rnacentral:rRNA from 1 species
AAUUAGUGGCAGACGGGUGAGUAAUGCAUAGGAAUCUACCUAGUAGUAUGGGAUAGCCACUAGAAAUGGUGGGUAAUACUGUAUAAUCCCUGCGGGGGAAAGAUUUAUCGCUAUUAGAUGAGCCUAUGUUAGAUUAGCUAGUUGGUAGGGUAAAGGCCUACCAAGGCAGUGAUCUAUAGCUGGUCUGAGAGGAUGAUCAGCCACACUGGAACUGAGAUACGGUCCAGACUCCUACGGGAGGCAGCAGUGGGGAAUAUUGGACAAUGGGCGCAAGCCUGAUCCAGCUAUGCCGCGUGAGUGAGGAAGGCCUUAGGGUUGUAAAACUCUUUCAGUAGGGAAGAUAAUGACGGUACCUA